GACGAACGCUGGCGGCGUGCCUAAUACAUGCAAGUAGAACGCUGAAGGAGGAGCUUGCUUCUCUGGAUGAGUUGCGAACGGGUGAGUAACGCGUAGGUAACCUGCCUGGUAGCGGGGGAUAACUAUUGGAAACGAUAGCUAAUACCGCAUAAGAGUAGAUGUUGCAUGACAUUUGCUUAAAAGGUGCAAUUGCCUCACUACCAGAUGGACCUGCGUUGUAUUAGCUAGUUGGUGGGGUAACGGCUCACCAAGGCGACGAUACAUAGCCGACCUGAGAGGGGGAUCGGCCACACUGGGACUGAGACACGGCCCAGACUCCUACGGGAGGCAGCAGUAGGGAAUCUUCGGCAAUGGACGGAAGUCUGACCGAGCAACGCCGCGGGAGUGAAGAAGGGUGUCGGAUCGUAAAGCUCUGUUGUAAGAGAAGAACGAGUGUGAGAGUGGAAAGUUCACACUGUGACGGUAUCUUACCAGAAAGGGACGGCUAACUACGUG
rnacentral:rRNA from 1 species